rnacentral:rRNA from 1 species
UGGGGAAUAUUGGACAAUGGGCGAAAGCCUGAUCCAGCCAUGCCGCGUGUGUGAAGAAGGUCUUCGGAUUGUAAAGCACUUUAAGUAGGGAGGAAGGGCAGUAAGCGAAUACCUUGCUGUUUUGACGUUACCGAUAGAAUAAGCACCGGCUAACUCUGUGGCAGCAGCCGCGGUAAUACAGAGGGUGCAAGCGUUAAUCGGAAUUACUGGGCGUAAAGCGCGCGUCGGCGGUUCGUUAAGUUGAAUGUGAAAGCCCCGGGCUCAACCUGGGAACUGCAUCUUAAUCUAGCGAGCUAGGAUAGGGCAGAGGGUGGUGGAAUUUCCUGUGUCACGAUGAUAUGCGUAAUAAUAGGAAGGAACACCAAUGGCGAAAGCGACCACCUGGGCUCAUACUGACACUGAGGUGCGAAAACGUGGGGAGCAAACAGG